rnacentral:rRNA from 1 species
UACGAAGGGGGCUAGCGUUGCUCGGAAUCACUGGGCGUAAAGGGUGCGUAGGCGGGUUUUUAAGUCAGGGGUGAAAUCCUGGAGCUCAACUCCAGAACUGCCUUUGAUACUGAAGAUCUUGAGUUCGGGAGAGGCGAGUGGAAUUCCGGGUGUAGUGGUGAAAUGCGUAGAGAUCCGGAGGAACACCAGUGGCGAAGGCGGCUCGCUGGGCUUUACCUGACGCUGAGGCGCGAAAGCGUGGGGAGCGAACCGG